ACUGUGGCUCAGGGGUAGAGCAACGCACUCGUAAUGCGUAGAUCGAGGGUUCGAAUCCCUCCAGU
rnacentral:tRNA from 1 species